UCCUUUAGGUUGGCUAUAUUUGCUAUUACUUAGGCAAGACUCUUUCACAGGGCAUGAGAACAUAGAUUAAAUAUCAAGUUGGCAAACCGGUUUUUUUCAAAAAAUGUUGGACAUACAAUUAAAAAAAAAAUCGUGCACCAAUUUGAAGAAGGUUUAAUUAGUAAAUGCAAUGUCAGGUAUAAUAUUUGAUGAGUCUUCACAUGCAUGCAACUGAAACCAGCACCAUAGUCACAAUACCAACCAUAUCUGUCUCUGAAUUUACUUCAUGUUCUUUAUCAAUCUCUCUGCCCUUCACAGCUUUCCAAGUAACCAUAGAUUUAUACUCCAUUUUAAUAGAUAUCUUUGCAAUUUCUAAGUUUCAUAUGAUGGGAAUCAGCAUUUUUUCAGCUUUUAUUUAUGUUGCAUAAUUGCUUGGAGAUUUAUUAAUGAUAUGUUAGCUUUUUUUGGAGUGAAAAGAUUUUUAUCUUCGACAUUAUUAUUAUUAUUAUAGAAAUGGAAAUUUAAUGCAGGGAAGUUGUUACAUGGAUAACAGGUGGAAUGCCAAGCACAGACAGUGAAGAUGUCUGCAGGAGCAAGUCAUUAGUACAACACUUGGAGUCACAUUGAGGAAAUGACGUUGGUACCCAACAUUAGGGGUCACAGGGAGGACAUGGUGUUACCACAGCCCAGGAGCUGAGGCCACUUGUCAGAGAGGGAAUCACAGCAGUACUGUUGGGUAGGAGCCAAGGAGACAAGCAAUCUCUUGAAGUCAUGAGCAAAGUGAAGGAAUGCCCUUGCUCCCUCUUUUUCUUUUUCUUUUUUGUUUUAAUUUUUAAUUUGCUAUAUUAAUUCAUUUAUUAAAUAUGGUUACUUCUAAUUUUUGACUAUUUGUAAUAAAGUUGCUACAAACAUUUCUGAGAAAGGAAUGGAGAGGGAGAGAGAAACAUGGAUGAGAAAGAGAAACAUCCAUUGGCUGCUUCCUGCAUGCCCCCUACUGUGGUUUCAGCCUACGUGUGCCUUGACUGGGAAUCGAACCCGUUACCUCCUGGUGCGUGGGUCGACACACAAACACAGCCACACGGACUCACCUGCAGUGGACACUUUUUUUUAAUCACACUUUCAGAAGUCCAGUCUCUUGAUAAUGUAAUAAGCUAUUGCUUUAUAGAAUCCCCCCUUUUUUCCUGGUCUCCUGUCAUGGGGCUUCUUUCAUUGGAACAGGUCUCUCAGGAGGACCAGGUGGCAUCAGGGUGGGCAGGGUAUUUUGGGAGUCCCAAAGCCACUGCAGAAGGAAAUAGGGGGGCAGUGAUCAGACUCCCCAUGCCCUGGGUCAGGCAUUUUGGAUUUGAAUCCCAAAUUCCCGAAUAUCAUUGGGACAAAUAAGGACAUGUCCUCUUCUCCGUGGGCUUCAGUCUUCUCCUCUUAUACCCAUAAGGUCUGUGACCUCCUCCUGAGCCGUUAGAGGCGGUCAGCUGCGAAGGUGCCCAUUCACAGUAUGACAUCUGCCUGCAGCCAGCUGGGCUCUGGCAACUUCAGCCUCUUACUGCUAAGACCUUUCAGGCUGGGCGUCACUCACUCCUCCAGUACUGAGGAGCACCGUUACUUUGCGGUGUGUUUGAGAAAGAAAUGGAGCUCGAGACAACCUGCUGACCCACCAGCAGAGAGGCAGGGGCCGUAGGCUCUGAGGUUCUCUCCAGGUGACUCACCAGCGCUCCCUGAAUUUUAGUUUACUGAAUUUGACAUGAAGGUGAUGAUAGCACUUACCUUGGCCUUUGAGAGUCCAAUUUAUCAUUUUUCUUAAAUUCUUUACUGAUUUGGUUACAUGUCUAAGGAUUCUUGGCCCAACACAAGGUCACAAGAAAUAUCUCCAGUGUUUGUUUUCUGCAAAAUUGUGUGUGUGUGUGUGUGUAACUAUAGGUAUGACUAUUUUUUUAGAGCAAUUUUAGAUUUACAGCAACAUUGAGUGCAAAGUAGAGACCCCCAGGCCCCAAUCAAUGUUUCUGUCUCUCCCUCUCCAUUCCUCUCUCAGAAAUGUUUGUAGCAGCUUUAUGGUAAAUAAUCAAAUAUUAGAAAUAAAAGUGACAAAGUGAGUACUUGUCGAUACCAGGAUUCCGGGGUUAGCUUUUGGAGCAUUUUCUCUCUUGAUUCUCACAACAACCUUGUAAGUGGAAACUAAUAUCGAGUUGCUGGAAAAUCCAGGAUUAGAGAAAUGAAGUAGGUUCUCCAAAGUUUGUUCCACAGACGAGUGUCAGAAAUAGAGGCUGGAUUCCAACCCAGGAUUCUGGCUCCAGAACCAGGGACAAGUUCUACCAUGGGGGCAGGUACGCUGUUAGGACUAGGGAGGCUCAACUGAAGCUGCAGUUGCCAUUGUUACAGUUAGAAUUAUUCUCCUAAAAUGUCAGAGCACCUCAGUCUUUCAACGGAGCAGCAUCAUCUCUCAGCUCCAGUGGUUUCUCCAGCGGAACCUUCUUUCAGAGUGAGCUGCAGUUUGCCUCUCCUUUGAUCCCAGCACAGAGUUUGACCCACAGGAGACCUCGGUAAUUUGAGUUGAGUCUGCUGUUUCACCCACAUUGGGUGUCAGGCUCUAAUCCCAUCCACUGUGAUGAAUUUCAUGCCUUAGUUCCACUCUGCAAGUGAUGCUUGUAGCUGGCACUGACACCUUACAGGCAAGGGGACACCUGGACGUGAAUUCUGGGACAUAAUAUUCAAAAGUGAUAAGGAGACCUACAGGAUCCUGCUCUCAUUGGCAAGUGCUCACCUCUUUUUUCAAGCUAAGGACCCACUGCCCAUGUGAUUCUGUCAUCUACUUCUGCCCUUCUUUAUGAGACAGUGGUGCUCACCAUGUUUUCCCUGCAUGUCGGACCUUGUUCUGGACCCACAUCUUUCCCGGUCUCCUAUGUCUGCAUAGGAUAAUUUUUUCACGUGCUUAUAGACAGUCAUUUGUUUUCUUUACUGUGUAUUCAAGUCUGUCCUCGUUUUCUGAAUGGGUUGUUUGUUUUCUUAAAUUAUUUUUGAAGUUAUUUAUAUAUUCUGUAUAGAACUCCUGUAUCAGAUUAUGACUUGCAAAUAUAUUCUCUUCACCUGUG